rnacentral:tRNA from 1 species
GGUAAGAUGGCUGAGUGUUCUAAGCGGUGGGCUGUAGUCCCAUAAACAGAGGUUCAAUUCCUUUUCUUAUCA